rnacentral:rRNA from 1 species
UACAGAGGGGGCUAGCGUUGUUCGGAAUUACUGGGCGUAAAGGGCUCGUAGGCGGCCAACUAAGUCCGACGUGAAAUCCCCAGGCUCAACCUGGGAACUGCGUCGGAUACUGGAUGGCUUGAAUUCGGGAGAGGGAUGCAGAAUUCCAGGUGUAGCGGUGAAAUGCGCAGAUAUCAGGAGGAACACCAAUGGCGAAGGCAGCUCGCUGGGACGGUACUGACGCUGAGACGCGAAAGCGUGGGGAGCAAACAGG